AUAGAAUAUGUGUACGCGUGUUACAUGUUGGAGUAGCUUUUGUUGCCUAUUGUUUUAACUAUUUUUGAUUUAGAUUUUAUAUAUUUUGGCGAUACUACAUAUUUGUUGUGCAUCCAGAUGUUUUAAUAAUCCAGUGAAGGAUACACAUUGGUCAGAUUUCCCAAGGAAGACCAAUAUCAAAAUACAUGGGCAGAUGCUUUGGGCGAGAAUGCAUCAAGAUCCUUGGAUAAUUUAAGAUUGUGAGAAGUACACUUUGAGCCAUGAGAUAUUGGGUCAUCUAAAAAGUAUCCGCAGUUUUUUGUCAGUUGAUGUGUGUUGAUGGUCAUGUAUCUAGUGACAAAGUACCGCGGAUACUUUUUAGAUGACCCAAUAUAUUGGUGAUAAAUUGCUAGAAGGAAGUAACAAAAUAACAUCGUAUGGUUCGAUAUCAUCAUGUUUUUGCCAUUAUUCUUG